rnacentral:rRNA from 1 species
AUUGAACGCUGGCGGCAGGCCUAACACAUGCAAGUCGAGCGGAUGAAGGGAGCUUGCUCCUGGAUUCAGCGGCGGACGGGUGAGUAAUGCCUAGGAAUCUGCCUGGUAGUGGGGGAUAACGUCCGGAAACGGGCGCUAAUACCGCAUACGUCCUGAGGGAGAAAGGGGGGGAUCUUCGGACCUCACGCUAUUAGAUGAGCCUAGGACGGAUUAGCUAGUUGGUGGGGUAAAGGCCUACCAAGGCGACGAUCCGUAACUGGUCUGAGAGGAUGAUCAGUCACACUGGAACUGAGACACGGUCCAGACUCCUACGGGAGGCAGCAGUGGGGAAUCUUGGACAAUGGGCGAAAGCCUGAUCCAGCCAUGCCGCGUGUGUGAAGAAGGUCUUCGGAUUGUAAAGCACUUUUAGUUGGGAGGAAGGGCAGUAAGUUUAUCCCUUGCUGUUUUGACGUUACCAACAGAAUAAGCCCCGGCUAACUUCGUG